rnacentral:lncRNA from 11 species
CUCAGACAAAAUUGGGGGCCACCUCCCUGGGAGAAGUGAAAGCCAGUUUUGUCCCUCACAAGAAGAAUAAUUGCUAUUCACAAACUGAAGAUGCACAAAACCCAUUCCGCUGUCAUACUUCAUCUUCUUCCUAAUUUGUGAAUAUUUAUACCCUGACCUUCUCACCCCAAAGGGGAUUCACAGCAGCUUAGAGAACACAUAUAUGGCAAAAAUUCAAUGCCGAUGAUACAAUUAACAAGGACAGACAACACAAACAGAGGUAAAGGCAGUUUUCCU